rnacentral:rRNA from 1 species
CCUGAACGCUGGCGGCGUGGCUAAGACAUGCAAGUCGCACGGGGUAGCGAUACCCAGUGGCGAACGGGUGAGUAAUGAAUCGCUAAUGUGCCCCGGACUCUGGGAUAGCCAGCCGAAAGGCUGGGUAAUACCAGAUGAGACCACGAACAGGCAUCUGUUUGUGCUCAAAGGUCCGCCGGUCUGGGAGCAGGCGAUUUCGUAUCAGCUUGUUGGGAGGUAACGGCUCACCAAGGCGACGACGCGUAGCCGGACUGAGAGGUUGGCCGGCCACAUUGGGACUGAGACACUGCCCAGACUCCUACGGGGGGCUGCAGUAACGAAUCUUCCGCAAUGUACGAAAGUAUGACGGAGCGACGCCGCGUGUGGGACGAAGCCCUUCGGGGGUGUAAACCACUGUCGAGGGGUUAGAAAGUUCUGAUCAACCCCAGAGGAAGGGACGGCUAACUCUGUGCCAGCA